rnacentral:rRNA from 1 species
AUUGAACGCUGGCGGCAUGCUUUACACAUGCAAGUCGAACGGUAACAGGCCGCAAGGUGCUGACGAGUGGCGAACGGGUGAGUAAUGCAUCGGAACGUGCCCAGUCGUGGGGGAUAACUACUCGAAAGAGUAGCUAAUACCGCAUACGAUCUAUGGAUGAAAGCGGGGGACCGUAAGGCCUCGCGCGAUUGGAGCGGCCGAUGUCAGAUUAGGUAGGUGGUGGGGUAAAGGCUCACCAAGCCAACGACCUGUAGCUGGUUUGAGAGGACGACCAGCCACACUGGGACUGAGGCACGGCCCAGACUCCUACGGGAGGCCGCAGUGGGGAAUUUUGGACAAUGGGCGCAAGCCUGAUCCAGCAAUGCCGCGUGCAGGAAGAAGGCCUUCGGGUUGUAAACUGCUUUUGUACGGAACGAAACGGCUCUGGUUAAUACCCGGGGAUAAUGACGGUACCGUAAGAAUAAGCACCGGCUAACUACGUG